AUUGAACGCUGGCGGCAGGCCUAACACAUGCAAGUCGAACGAGUGGCGGACGGGUGAGGAAUGUCUGGGAAACUGCCCGAAGGAGGGGGAUAACUACUGGAAACGGUAUCUAAUACCGCAUACCAUCGGAUGUGCCCAGUGGGGAGUAGCUAGUAGGUGGGGUAACGGCUCACCUAGGCGACGAUCCCUAGCUGGUCUGAGAGGAUGAUCAGCCACACUGGAACUUGGACACGGCCCAGACUCCGACGGGAGGCAGCAGUAGGGAAUAUUGCGCAAUGGGCGCAAGCCUGAUGCAGCAACGCCGCGUGUAUGAAGAAGGUCUUCGGGUUGUAAAGUACUUUCGGCGAGGAAGCGUUAUCCGCAAAGAAAGCAACGGCUAACUACGUGCCAGCAGCCGCGGUAAUAC
rnacentral:rRNA from 1 species